rnacentral:rRNA from 1 species
AACGAACGCUGGCGGCAGGCUUAACACAUGCAAGUCGAGCGCCCCGCAGGGGGAGCGGCAGACGGGCGAGUAACGCGUGGGAAUCUACCCAUCUCUACGGAAUAACGCAUGGAAACGUGUGCUAAUACCGUAUACGUCCUUCGGGAGAAAGAUUUAUCGGAGAUGGAUGAGCCCGCGUUGGAUUAGUUAGUUGGUGGGGUAAAGGCCUACCAAGGCGACGAUCCAUAGCUGGUCUGAGAGGAUGAUCAGCCACACUGGGACUGAGACACGGCCCAGACUCCUACGGGAGGCAGCAGUGGGGAAUAUUGGACAAUGGGCGCAAGCCUGAUCCAGCCAUGCCGCGUGAGUGAUGAAGGCCCUAGGGUUGUAAAGCUCUUUCACCGGAGAAGAUAAUGACGGUAACCGGAGAAGAAGCCCCGGCUAACUUCGUGCCAGCCGCCGCAGUAAAAC